rnacentral:tRNA from 1 species
GGGCAAUUAGCUUAAUUGGUUAGAGCGUGGUAAUAAGCCUCAUGGUUUAGGUUCGAGUCCUAAGUUGUCCA